rnacentral:rRNA from 1 species
UACGGAGGAUCCGGGCGUUAUCCGGAUUUAUUGGGUUUAAAGGGUGCGCAGGCGGGAGAUUAAGUCGGCGGUGAAAUUUUGCAGCUCAACUGUAAAAGUGCCUUCGAAACUGGUUUCCUUGAGUGUAGACGAAGUAGGCGGAAUUUGUGGUGUAGCGGUGAAAUGCAUAGAUAUCACGAGGAACUCCGAUUGCGCAGGCAGCUUACUAAACUACUACUGACGCUCAGGCACGAAGGCGUGGGGAUCAAACAGGAUUAGAUACCCUGGUAGUCCCU